rnacentral:rRNA from 1 species
GGAGGGUGCAAACGUUGUUCGGAAUCACUGGGCGUAAAGGGCGCGCAGGCGGACCUGUAAGUCAGGAGUGAAAACUCGGGGCUCAACUCCGAGCCUGCUUCUGAAACUGCAAGUCUUGAGGGCCGGAGAGGAGAGUGGAAUUCCUAGUGUAGCGGUGGAAUGCGUAGAUAUUAGGAAGAACACCAGUGGCGAAGGCGACUCUCUGGACGGUUCCUGACGCUGAGGCGCGAAAGCUAGGGGAGCAAACAGGGAUUAGAUACCCCGGUAGUCCUAGCCGUAAACGAUGAGUGCUAGGUGGUGGUGGUUUCAACGCCUUCACUGCCGGAGCUAACGCAUUAAGCACUCCGCCUGGGGAUACGGCCGCAAGGUUG